rnacentral:rRNA from 1 species
AUACGUAGGGGACAAGCGUUAUCCGGAUUUACUGGGUGUAAAGGGAGCGUGGACGGUUCUGCAAAGUCUGGAGUGAAAGCCCGGGGCUCAACCCCGGGACUGCUUUGGAAACUGUGGAACUGGAGUGCAGGAGAGGUAAGUGGAAUUCCUAGUGUAGCGGUGAAAUGCGUAGAUAUUAGGAGGAACACCAGUGGCGAAGGCGGCUUACUGGACUGUAACUGACGUUGAGGCUCGAAAGCGUGGGGAGC